rnacentral:rRNA from 1 species
CAAGUUUAGCGAUCUCUUCGGAGAGAGCGGCGGGCGGGUGAGUAACGCGUGCGGUAACCUGCCCUGUACACACGGAUAACAUACCCGAAAGGUAUACUAAUACCGGGAUAACAUAUGAAAAGUCGCAUGGCUUUUGUAUCAAAGCUCCGGCGGUAACAGGAUGGACCCGCGUCUGAUUAGCUAGUUGGUAAGGUAAUGGCUUACCAAGGCAACGAUCAGUAGCCGACCUGAGAGGGUGAUCGGCCACACUGGAACUGAGACACGGUCCAGACUCCUACGGGAGGCAGCAGUGGGGAAUAUUGCACAAUGGGCGAAAGCCUGAUGCAGCAACGCCGCGUGAGCGAUGAAGGCCUUCGGGUCGUAAAGCUCUGUCCUCAAGGAAGAUAAUGACGGUACUUGAGGAGGAAGCCCCGGCUAACUACGUGCCAGCAGCCGCGGUAAUACGUAGGGGGCUAGCGUUAUCCGGAAUUACUGGGCGUAAAGGGUGCGUAGGUGGUUUUUUAAGUCAGAAGUGAAAGGCUACGGCUCAACCGUAGUAAGCUUUUGAAACUAGAGAACUUGAGUGCAGGAGAGGAGAGUAGAAUUCCUAGUGUAGCGGUGAAAUGCGUAGAUAUUAGGAGGAAUACCAGUAGCGAAGGCGGCUCUCUGGACUGUAACUGACACUGAGGCACGAAAGCGUGGGGAGCAAACAGGAUUAGAUACCCUGGUAGUCCACGCCGUAAACGAUGAGUACUAGGUGUUCGGGGGUACCCCCCUCGGUGCCGCAGCUAACGCAUUAAGUACUCCGCCUGGGAAGUACGCUCGCAAGAGUGAAACUCAAAGGAAUUGACCGGGGACCCGCACAAGUAGCGGAGCAUGUGGUUUAAUUCGAAGCAACGCGAAGAACCUUACCUAAGCUUGACAUCCCACUGACCUCUCCCUAAUCGGAGAUUUCCCUUCGGGGACAGUGGUGACAGGUGGUGCAUGGUUGUCGUCAGCUCGUGUCGUGAGAUGUUGGGUUAAGUCCCGCAACGAGCGCAACCCUUGCCUUUAGUUGCCAGCAUUAAGUUGGGCACUCUAGAGGGACUGCCGAGGAUAACUCGGAGGAAGGUGGGGAUGACGUCAAAUCAUCAUGCCCCUUAUGCUUAGGGCUACACACGUGCUACAAUGGGUGGUACAGAGGGUUGCCAAGCCGCGAGGUGGAGCUAAUCCCUUAAAGCCAUUCUCAGUUCGGAUUGUAGGCUGAAACUCGCCACAGGAACCUGGAGUUACUAGUAAUCGCAGAUCAGAAUGCUGCGGUGAAUGCGUUCCCGGGUCUUGUACACACCGCCCGUCUACACCAUGGAA